rnacentral:rRNA from 1 species
GAUGAACGCUGGCGGCGUGCCUAAUACAUGCAAGUCGAGCGAAUGGAUUAAGAGCUUGCUCUUAUGAAGUUAGCGGCGGACGGGUGAGUAACACGUGGGUAACAUGCCCAUAAGACUGGGAUAACGCCGGGAAACCGGGGCUAAUACCGGAUAAUAUUUUGAACUGCAUGGUUCAAAAUUGAAAGGCGGCUUCGGCUGUCACUUAUGGAUGGCCCCGCGUCGCAUUAGCUAGUUGGUGAGGUAACGGCUCAACAAGGCAACGAUGCGUAGCCGACCUGAGAGGGUGAUCGGCCACACUGGGACUGAGACACGGCCCAGACUCCUACGGGAGGCAGCAGUAGGGAAUCUUCCGCAAUGGACGAAAGUCUGACGGAGCAACGCCGCGUGAGUGAUGAAGGCUUUCGGGUCGUAAAACUCUGUUGUUAGGGAAGAACAAGUGCUAGUUGAAUAAGCUGGCACCUUGACGGUACCUAACCAGAAAGCCACGGCUAACUACGUGCCAGCAGCCGCGGUAA